CACAGGCUGGCCUUAAACUCACUGUAUGGCUGAGGGUGACUUUGAAUUCCUGAUCCUCUGGCCUCUACUCCUGAGUGAGGGGCUGCAGGCAUAACCCAUCAUACCUGGUUUAGUGCAGUGCUGGCAUCAAGACCAGGGCCUGGGGCUGGUGAAAUGUCUGGGUAGAUAAAGGCUCAUGUCUCCAAGCUUGAUGAGCCGAGUUUGAUCCCUAGAACCACAUACUAAGAGGAGAGAACAGACUCCUACAAGGUUUCUUCUGACCUCCACUCACACCUUAGCACUCACAUCCCCUCCCCCAACCACAAAAAUAAAUAAAUGAAUGAACCAUGGUGGGAAGUAGCAGUGUUCUGUCCCUGUCUACCUUUAGAUGCCAGCCCAGGCACUCACCUACAGGUGAGUGACUUAUAGGGUCUUACAGGCUGUGGGCAUUACCUAGCAGGCCAGGACUUGCAGCCUGGGCUCUGGGCCUGGGCCAGCAUCUAAAAGUAGCUGGAGUGAAUACUGCAGUACCCCCUUGCUUCUUUCCUCCUGCCAGUUGGCGGGUCAGCCUGUGCACUUGAAGCGUGACUUCUUCCUGGCCAAUGCUUCUCGGGCACAAUCAGAGCACUUUAUCAACCUUCGAGAGGUCAGUAACCGCAUCCGCCUGCCGCCGGGGGAGUAUAUAGUGGUGCCCUCCACCUUCGAGCCCAACAAAGAGGGUGACUUUCUGCUGCGCUUCUUUUCAGAGAAGAAGGCUGGGACCCAG
rnacentral:lncRNA from 1 species